rnacentral:lncRNA from 1 species
AUGUGGCUUCCACAUUCUCUUCUUACCCUUCUUUUUCUUCAUGAUUGGCCUGAAAAAUUGAACUCUUUGUAUCUUAGAAUGAAAAAGGGAAAUUUUUCUUAUUUUGAUUUUUCCAUGUGUUGGAACCGAACUGUCGAUUCUCUCCUGGGCAGGGGUCGCCGCGAAGGAUCACCGACACGAGAUUCACAGCAGAGAGUUGUUUAUUACUAGCGCGCUAGGGUCCCAAGCUCUAAGUUGGCCCUGGGACCCCGAGUGCUUGUUACAGGUUGUUUAUAUAGGCAAACACAAGUUUAAACACAGCUUAGGGCGUGAAAUUCAAACAAAGCUUUAGGCAUGUGGUAAUUGGGUCUGUCUAUGGCCUGAGCAAGGUAUCUUGUUCUGAUUGGUUGGGGCGGGACCUUAGGAGGUUCUUUCCUGGAAUUGCUGAUUCCGGGAACAUCGGGGACAUUGAGGCAGGGUGGGACCCCAUGAGGCUAUCAGGGUGGGACCCCAUGAGGCUAUUUCCCGGAAUUGUCUUUCUGUUUGGGUUCUGGGAACAUCGGGGGGCUAUCCGUGGCCAUCUGGGGUUUAAGUUUCAUGAUGGCCAAGCUUUUUAAAUUUUAUGAGGCUUAGGAAUUAUGAGGCCUAGUUUCACAUGAAGCACAUUAAAUGUCAUAUCAAGGCCUCCAGGAUAAAGGUGUGGAGGCUGUAAUCAAAGGUGAAUAAAGCCCUUCCUUUGACUUAUAGCUUUGUGUAGAGUCUGGGUAGUUGUUCAUGAACCUCAUUUUCUUUUCUUCCUGGUCACACAGCCAGACAUUUCCCAGUCACUCUUCAAGGUAGGUGUUGCCACAGGGCUGAGUUCUGGCUAGUGCAAUGUAGUUGGAAGUAAUAGCUGUCACUUCCAGCCCCAGCCUCUCAAACUCUCACUCUUUUCCCUUCUCUGCUGGAUUUAACGGAUGAUCUCAGAGGGGCUCUAAGGCCCAGGGGAUACCAGAACUACAGAAUGGAAGAGACGGGCCCUUGAAUCCCAAGUGAAUAGCUGCCUGCUGAACUCCCACAUUCAACUGGGCAUGAGCAAGAAAUAGACUUUUUUUGCAUGAAGCCUCAGAGAUAAGGGUUGUUUGUCACAGAGUCCAGCCUGCCCUCUUACAGAUACAGCCUUUGGGUACUUACAUAGGCACGUGAUCCUUUUUAUCUUCACUGUGUCCUUCUCAAGCACAGAGAUUUGCCCAAGGCCUAUGGUUGAUGUUUGAUUAAGCUGGAACUAAUCCCCCAGUCCCAUAGAAUCUCUGAUUGAGAAGUUUUUGUUUUGUUUUGUUUUGUUUUGUUUUUUCCAGAGACAGGUUUUUCUCUGUCUCCAGGCUGGAGUGCAGUGAUGUGAUUAUAGCCCACUACAGCCUGGACUCAAGUGAUCCUCUCACCUCAGCCUCCUGAGUAGCUGGGAUUACAGGUGUGGGUCAUUGCACCUGACCCCAUGAUCAGUAGAUUAAUGAGUAUAAUUCUAUAAGCACCUUUGCAUGACCUCUGUGUGUGCAGGUACUAUGCUAGAUACUGGGAACACAGAAGUAAUUGAUCCCCAAUGAUUGUUUAGUUCAGCUACACAGAAUUCUUAAGUUAACAUCUAUAAUAGUGUGCAAAAUUAAAUACCUUCCCAAACCAGGCAGUAAUAUCAAUAUGUAAAUCAGGCUGAGCGUGGAGUAGGAAGGUCUUCAGGAAACUGAAGAGUGGAGACAUCAGCCAAAGGUGUUUAAAUAAAAAAUCUGAAAACACCAUGCUGGCCUGGCAAAGCACAUCUCUGGGUUGGAUUCAGCCCACUGGCUCUCAGUUUGUGAUCCCUGCUCUGCAGCACCUCUGGAAUGGUCCUGUGGUCAUUGAGUUGCAUGCCAUUAUAAUGGCAACUGCUUAGAGUAGAUCUGUAAUCUCAGGCCAAUUAGAAACCUCAAGAUUCAAUUCCAAGACUUUUUUUUGUGCUGUCUGAAAAGUGGACAAUCUUUUCCCCAUUUUUGUUGCAUGUGAGAUGAUGAUAGUUCUGGCUCCUGUGACCGUCUUACAACCAUGAGUGGAGGCAAGAUCCUUAUGUCUGAGAAUAAAGCCCAGAUGGAGAAGGCUGAAACCAAGAAGCACAGAGACAGAAGCCAAGUCUUGGUCACCUGAGCCCUUGAUCGAGCUGCUGCUGAAUACAAUAUGCCCCUACUAUUUUAAACUUCCUGAACCGAUAAAUCCCUUAUUUACUUAAGCAAACUUGGGUUGGGUUAGGUUUUUGUUUACUUGCAAACUGGUGCACGGUUCUCUUUAAAAGGGGAUCUGGUGAAUAAAAUUUCUCCGACUCCUUAAACACAACAGAUGUGCCACAGGGUGGGGCGAAGAUCUAGCAACUUCCAAGUCUGAAUAUCCAUGGUGGGGCUCAGUGGUUACACUAGAAUUACCAAAAUCCUUUCACAUUACUGAAAGAGAAGGCAGCCUGUUGUGAAGAAAAGUCCUCCUACACAUUUCUGUUCCAUCUCUGCAGCAUGAAAAGGAUGAGACCUCUUGUAUGUCCACAUUUAAUGACUUUCUGUUACUUGAUCCUAGAAAUAGAGUUGUUUUCAGACAAGAGUCUCCCAAUAAAGGAGAUUUCUUACCUUCAAAAGACGGCAAGAAAAGAACUCAAGAUCUAGGAUGGUGGCAGCACAGGCAGAAAAUCUGUAUUUGAUUUUAGGUCUACGUCAUCGUCUGCUGCAUGGCCGUUGAAGUAACCCUGGUGCUGUGCUACUCAUCAAUCCACCAAUAUUUACUGGGCACUGGCUGUAUCAGGAACCAUGGGAGGCACGGGGAUCUUGCAGAUUAUACCCAUCUCCAAGGCUGUUGGGCACCAGAGACACAGGUUGUUUACUCCUGAGAUACAGCAUUACACGGGAACUAAUUUUCCAUUUGUUUAUAGUUUAUGGGAAACAAGAAAGCAAUGAAUAUAUUUGAGCCUGGAUUAUGCAUCCUAUUCCAGGAUUAAGAAAAAGGUACUCAGAGGCAGCAAAAGUAAAAACACACAUGAAUGUAGCCACGGUUCCCAGGACUCCAUGCUGAUGCGCAUCCAGUCUUUGUUGUCACAAGAGUUGUAACUUUUGUAUGUGUGUGUAAGGGCUAAAGAUGUAUAAAUUGGGGCUAAUCCUUAAUCCACAGUCUGUGAUUGAUCAAAGAUGAUAGGUUCAAAACAAAGCUCAAAGCUUUCUUGUACUGUGUUUUGUGCUCUAGGGACUUGGAUUCCUUGGCCUUUGUGACACUCUACUUAUAACAUGCCCAUUUGUGGUCAAAUGCUACCUUUUAUACCCUCUGAGGGAAGAGUAGUCUCAUUUAUUGUUGUAACUUCCACUAUACCUAACAUCAGGAAGGAAAGAAGAAAAGAAGUAAAGAAGAAAGGAAGAAAGAAUGGAGGGAGAAAGACAAGGGUUUGGAGAACAUUUAAAUAAAUAUUCUUGCCAUUAAUGAAGCGGCUAUCAAUUUCCUUACUUGUUACAUUCAGAAUUCAAAUAAAAGAAAAUUCUCAUCUUGCAUUUGUCCACAUUUUGAUCCAUAGAGGUGGUUUUCAGUGUGAGAACAUCACUCAAGAUAGGAGAGGCAACACAGGGCAGAGGAAGGGCCCUACACAGGCCCAGAACAUAGUCCCUGCUCCAGCAUAUCAUUGUUGAGAGGUUUUGAGCAAGUACCUUCAUUUCUCUGAGCCUUAAUUACUUCAUUUAUAAAAUGGGGGCCAUAAAACCUGCCUCACAGCAUUGCAGAACCAAGUGAGCUAGCAUAUGUGAAAUUGCUUCAUAAAUGGUAAAAUGAAGUACCCCAUAAUCAUGAAAUUGAUUUAACGCAAACUUCAUAUCUUCCAAUU